rnacentral:rRNA from 1 species
AGAGUUUGAUCAUGGCUCAGAUUGAACGCUGGCGGCAGGCCUAACACAUGCAAGUCGAACGGUAGCACAGAGAGCUUGCUCUCGGGUGACGAGUGGCGGACGGGUGAGUAAUGUCUGGGAAACUGCCUGAUGGAGGGGGAUAACUACUGGAAACGGUAGCUAAUACCGCAUAACGUCUUCGGACCAAAGUGGGGGACCUUCGGGCCUCACACCAUCGGAUGUGCCCAGAUGGGAUUAGCUAGUAGGUGGGGUAAUGGCUCACCUAGGCGACGAUCCCUAGCUGGUCUGAGAGGAUGACCAGCCACACUGGAACUGAGACACGGUCCAGACUCCUACGGGAGGCAGCAGUGGGGAAUAUUGCACAAUGGGCGCAAGCCUGAUGCAGCCAUGCCGCGUGUAUGAAGAAGGCCUUCGGGUUGUAAAGUACUUUCAGCGGGGAGGAAGGCGAUAAGGUUAAUAACCUUGUCGAUUGACGUUACC